CCGUCUACUCGGUGCAGCGAUCUUACUUGUUCACGUAGAAAUUGUUACAUAUUAAUAAAAAAAUGGUUUUAUUAGUAGCAACGGCUGUGCAAUCCUAGAAGAUAAGUGAUCGAAAACGAAAUUUGAUUUUUGAGCGAAAUCUGUGAAAUUUGGAAUGUUCUUCAGAGAAUCGGUUGUAAGGAUGUUCAGUGCAGUGAAUGUGUGUCAAAAGUCUUUGUGGUGUUGGUAGUGUGGGUGACAGAGGAUUAAAAAGGAAAAAUGACGGAGUAUUUUGGACCAUGGGACGACAAGACGGAAGACGGCGAGGAGGUGGAGACGGUGGAGACCGUGGAAACCGUUACCACGACCACUACAAGGACUAGAGUGCCAUCGAAAUCGUCGUCGACGAAAACUACUACAAUGACGACACCAGCCAAGUUAUUUGGACGAGAGUUGUCUAACUAUGACGAGGUGGACGUGGACGAGCUGUUGUCGAAGCUCACCCAGGAAGAGUUAUCGAUGCUGGCGAAAGAAGUCGACCCAGAUGAUAACACGUUUCCCCCGUCACUCCGAAACAACUACGACUGUGAUAAGGACCCCACAGGGCCGCUGAACCGCAAGAAACUGAUAGAACACAUCAACAAGCAGGCAUUGGAGACCCCCGACCGGCCCGAAGUGAAGCCCUACGUGCCUGGGAUCAUUCGGGGCAAAAAGUGGAUUCCACCCCCGCAAACUGACAAGGCCAGAGACGCGGAGGAACAGAUCUCUAUCGACCUCGGCGAUGAAUACCAGUCGGCUUUGGACAACGCCUCGCAAGAGGAGAUCAUCGAUCUGGCUGCUAUCCUGGGCUUCCAUUCCAUGAUGAACCAGGACCAAUACCACGCGUCGCUACUCAACAAAGGACAACCGAUCGGCCUCGGAUGGGAUGGCAUUACUAAAGCAACGCAACCAAAGGUAUUCCCCAUGGACCCGCCCAACUCCACGGACCCCGACGAAACGGUGAAACGCGUGCAGGAAAACGACCAGAAGCUCACGGAUCUCAAUUGGAAUAAUAUUAAGAACAUAAGCGACGAAAAGUUCGAGAAGCUCUUCGAAGCCCUGAAAACCAACACCAACCUGGAAGUGCUGUCUUUAGUCAACGUCGGCCUCAACGACAGGACGGCACAGUUGUUGGCGGACGCUCUCCAAGCGAACAGCGGUCUGAGGGUGGUGAAUGUGGAGACCAACUUCAUCAGUCCGGCGGGAGUCGUGCAGUUGGUGAAGUCACUGCUCACCACCAACAGUGUGGAAGAGUUCCGGGCUUCUAACCAGCGGUCGGCAGUCCUCGGCAACAAGAUAGAGAUGGAGAUCACCCGGCUGGUGGAGCAGAGCCCCACGCUGCUGCGCCUCGGCCUCCACCUCGAGUACAGCGACGCCCGACAUCGCAUAGCCAGCCAUCUGCAGCGGAACAUCGACAGAAUACGGAAAGACCUUACGCUGCGACUACAAUUCAGGUUCUUUAACAACAUGAAAAAAGCGGCGCGUAGCCAAUAGUUGGAAGUACGCCAGCAGCGCCGCAGUCAGAACAGCGCUUAGAGCCGUGAGCCAUCAUGUGUGGUGGCCGAGUGCGUCGCGUCAGUCAGUUCACGCGCAGCCGCAGCUACGUCGUGGGCUGGAUCCCCUAACUGCCCCGCUCGCUGGCAACACUUCGCUCUGGCAGUUCUUGUUACUGUGUAGAUAAUUCUGUUGCUAACUUCACUCAAUUUGCUUGUGCACUUCUACACACUUCUUCACCAUGGCAGAUAUGCCGCCGUAUUUAUGAUGAAAUUUCGCCAAAGUAAUUGAAUUUAACUUAAGACAUCAACUAUCUAGUUUUUUUACCGUGGAGGCCAAUAAUGUGUUUUAACUUCAUCAAAAUCCGAACUCAUUUUUGUACUUUGAUGAUCUGUGUAAUGAUUUUUUUUUUGUACAAUUUCACAAUCUUUAUUUAAGCUAAUAGCUUUGUCUUGCCUACGAUUUAUGUAAGAAAAUGUAACACCCUUACAUAUUUUUAUUGAUAUGAAAAGAAACGACUUUGUAAUAAAUACUUCUACAAAUUUACACAAAGAACUUAUCUACACAAUCAUAAGAAGUUAAGAAUUAUGCAGAGAUUAUAGUGUGCUUGAAAUUUGAAAGAGUUCAACAAGAAUUGUCAUUUUAUAGUCUUUUUUUUUAAAUCUAUAUCUUUUUUGGUUAAACUUUUUUUAAACAAAAGGUGGCAGGUCCAUCAUCCGGAAGGUAAUUUAUAGCGGGAGAUAUAAUUUCCUUAUAAAUUCCACAUGAAAUUAAAAAAAUAUAUACAUUUAUUAUUAAGUAUAAAAAAUAGAAUGACAAAACUUGUAGUAUGGUCGACUUUGUACGUUUUAAUAUUAAUUAUACUAGUGUGCUAAUGUUCGUAUUAAUUUUAUUAUAAUAAAUUGUAAUAUAUUUUAUAGAUGUGCACAUUCCAUUAAUGCGAAACAUGCUUCUCGUGGACGCUUUGUACACAAAUAUUUAGAGACGUAAUUAUACAUAAUACACACGUAUCCUUUAAGUAUACUCAAUCACAACGUUUAAAGUUAAUUCUCCUUCAGAAUAUAUUUGCUUAUGAUAAAACUUCUGUCAACUCGCCUAAAUUUGAAGACGUAUAAACUACACUCAAGAUAUAUACAAUUUCCUACAUACAAUAUUUGUUCCAUACAUACAAUACGUAUGGAGGGAGACAUUAGCUCUCACUUUAAUGAAUAGAAUUAAUAGAAUCUGGCAUUAAUAAAAUGGUUCUUUUUUCAAAAUAUUUCGUUCACUGUAAUUCAACAGAGAAGUCAUGUUCUGCGUCAAUGGAGGAUGUUAACGUAUUUCGACAUUUUCAAUAAAGCACUAGGUUUUAGCCAGCAUCUCGCCUUAUAGCAAAGUAUUAGCCAUAUAAAAAAAACAGUUACGGCUUUUAAUGUCUACAUUUUACCUUUUGCUUUCUUGAAAUUUAAACUUUGCUUAAUGUAACUCAUAUGUAUAUUUGAUAGAAACUACUGGGAAUAAGUGUCCAUAACAUUGUGAUAAACAUCAUGUUUUUCCAUUUAAAAAAUACUGCUUCGAUUUUUUUUCGUCUUUAGUUACGUUAAGAGAGAUUAUUUGUAUAUGAAUUUAGAUUUUUAAUGUGUAAUAUUCUUUUAUUGUGACAAUUUAUGGAAAUUAAAUUUAAUAUAAAACAUAAUUUUAUUUGUAAUAAUAGUUUUAUUUAUGUUUAUUUUAUAUUGGGUUCAGGAGCAUUUUGGUCCAACGAAUUCCUUGACUUGUAGAGUCGCAGUUCUGUAGUUUGUGACAAAUGUAAAAAAAAGCCAAUAAAAGUACGUAAACGAAA